UUACGCUGGCCCUUUAAGAAACCGGACUGUAAUGCUACCGGGAAGAUUUGUUUACUUCCUGUGUACAGCGCGGUUCACAACGCAGUUUAGAGAGUGCACGUGCAGUGGGGAAUAUAGCCAUCCAACACAAAAAAACACAAAAUAAGAAACUAUAGUGAGAUAUAGUGAAGCUAAAAGCUUUUGAGUGUUUUAUGUUAUUUGGAUGGCUGUGUAUUUUGCUGAUUGACAGCGAUUUCUGCUGGGAUACAUCUUGUGUGGUGUGUAAAUAGCAUGAAAUUGAUUCUCAAAGAAGCAGGGGAGAAAGUGCUUCUUAAGCCUUCUGUGUGUUUCCUGGGAGUGUGAAGCAUCAGAAGAAAGAACGAGUCUGUCAUAUGCUGUGAUAGUGUGUGCAUGUGUCAGAGGGGUGAUAAAAAGUAAGUUUGAGACAUUGUAUUUUAUUUCAUUUUCUCUAUCAGCUUAUUUUGAAGUUAUUUACUGUGAUGUAACACUCAUGUUUAAGUGUA